rnacentral:rRNA from 1 species
GUUUGAUCCUGGCUCAGGAUGAACGCUGGCGGCGUGCCUAAUACAUGCAAGUCGAGCGAACAGACGAGGAGCUUGCUCCUCUGACGUUAGCGGCGGACGGGUGAGUAACACGUGGAUAACCUACCUAUAAGACUGGGAUAACUUCGGGAAACCGGAGCUAAUACCGGAUAAUAUAUUGAACCGCAUGGUUCAAUAGUGAAAGGCGGCUUUGCUGUCACUUAUAGAUGGAUCCGCGCCGUAUUAGCUAGUUGGUAAGGUAACGGCUUACCAAGGCAACGAUGCGUAGCCGACCUGAGAGGGUGAUCGGCCACACUGGAACUGAGACACGGUCCAGACUCCUACGGGAGGCAGCAGUAGGGAAUCUUCCGCAAUGGGCGAAAGCCUGACGGAGCAACGCCGCGUGAGUGAUGAAGGUCUUCGGAUCGUAAAACUCUGUUAUCAGGGAAGAACAAAUGUGUAAGUAACUGUGCACGUCUUGACGGUACCUAAUCAGAAAGCCACGGCUAACUACGUGCCAGCAGCCGCGGUAAUACGUAGGUGGCAAGCGUUAUCCGGAAUUAUUGGGCGUAAAGCGCGCGUAGGCGGUUUUUUAAGUCUGAUGUGAAAGCCCACGGCUCAACCGUGGAGGGUCAUUGGAAACUGGAAAACUUGAGUGCAGAAGAGGAAAGUGGAAUUCCAUGUGUAGCGGUGAAAUGCGCAGAGAUAUGGAGGAACACCAGUGGCGAAGGCGACUUUCUGGUCUGUAACUGACGCUGAUGUGCGAAAGCGUGGGGAUCAAACAGGAUUAGAUACCCUGGUAGUCCACGCCGUAAACGAUGAGUGCUAAGUGUUAGGGGGUUUCCGCCCCUUAGUGCUGCAGCUAACGCAUUAAGCACUCCGCCUGGGGAGUACGACCGCAAGGUUGAAACUCAAAGGAAUUGACGGGGGCCCGCACAAGCGGUGGAGCAUGUGGUUUAAUUCGAAGCAACGCGAAGAACCUUACCAGGUCUUGACAUCCCUCUGACCGCUCUAGAGAUAGAGUUUUCCUUCGGGACAGAGGUGACAGGUGGUGCAUGGUUGUCGUCAGCUCGUGUCGUGAGAUGUUGGGUUAAGUCCCGCAACGAGCGCAACCCCUAUUGUUAGUUGCCAUCAUUCAGUUGGGCACUCUAGCGAGACUGCCGGUAAUAAACCGGAGGAAGGUGGGGAUGACGUCAAAUCAUCAUGCCCCUUAUGACCUGGGCUACACACGUGCUACAAUGGCUGGUACAACGAGUCGCAAGUCGGUGACGGCAAGCUAAUCUCUUAAAGCCAGUCUCAGUUCGGA